rnacentral:misc_RNA from 1 species
CAACCUCAUACUUGAAUUGCCAAUGGCCGUAAUGCAUCUCAUUGUAGAGGAUAAUAAAAGGCCAUGCAUGAGCAAAAUAUUAACCUAAAUGCCAAACAUAACAUCAAAUAUUUUGGACACUAGAGACUUGGUUGGGGAAGCAAUGGCAACUGCUGACUGCUGGGUGCUGCCACUGCCAUUUUGAAGAUAGUAGGGGCGAGAAGAAGCUCUUAUUGUCUUCAAAUCUGCACUUCUAGAUGGUGGUGGGGGUAAAGUAAUGAAUCCCUGAUUGUUAAGUCUUUCAU